GAUCCACUACAAAGCUGGAGAAGCUGGAGACAUUUCCGAUGCCAAGCCACUCUUGGUUGAUGGACCUCAAUUUGAGGUUUUUGAGAGUCUCUCCUUCUGGGCUCUCCACUGAAGGAGCUCCACUCCUGAGCAGAAGAGAGCAGGACCCUGCUCGUCACGUUUAACAUUCUCCAGUGGUGGCUGAGCUGCGGUGUUCUGCAGAGUUCUGAAGGGCUUCGGGACUGGAGCCAGUUCAGACACGUUAAUUAAAGGAACAUUCCACAGGUGGACUCUUUCCUCCACGUCCCUCCUCGUUUAGUCCGGCCGUGUCAGAAAGAAGCCUGCUGUUCUACAGGCCGCGCCACGGCCCAGACUGAAGCUCACUGACGGGGUGACUGUGUGGAAAGUAUGAGAGUGAAGAUGAGUUACAGUAAAUGUUUGUUGGCAUUAUAAUUAUAAACAUGGUGACAUAGUGA